AUCUUUACUGAUUGAUGUCCUCAAUGCAAAAAGAGUCUACCACAUUUAAUCUUCUAUUUCCUCCAUGGUUCAACAUUUUCUAGAGUAUCAUCAGGAACUGCUGCUUCAGCAGCAAUAAUAAGUUGCCAUAAGUCUUGACCUUGAAGAUAGGCCUCUAGUUUGUACCUAAAAGCUUCUCAACACCAUAUUGUGCACCUGAACGAUUUCCCCCAUUUGUUAACUCCAUACUGCAUAUAGAAGAGUUUUCCCUUAACAACUUUCAAUGUCCUCCAACAAGGCAAAU
rnacentral:lncRNA from 1 species